AUUGAACGCUGGCGGCAUGCCUUACACAUGCAAGUCGAACGGUAACGCGGGGCAACCUGGCGACGAGUGGCGAACGGGUGAGUAAUGCAUCGGAACGUGCCCAGAAGUGGGGGAUAGCCCGGCGAGAGCCGGAUUAAUACCGCAUGAGACCUGAGGGUGAAAGCGGGGGAUCGCAAGACCUCGCGCUUUUGGAGCGGCCGAUGUCAGAUUAGCUAGUUGGUGGGGUAAAGGCCUACCAAGGCGACGAUCUGUAGCUGGUCUGAGAGGACGACCAGCCACACUGGGACUGAGACACGGCCCAGACUCCUACGGGAGGCAGCAGUGGGGAAUUUUGGACAAUGGGCGCAAGCCUGAUCCAGCCAUGCCGCGUGCGGGAAGAAGGCCUUCGGGUUGUAAACCGCUUUUGUCAGGGAAGAAACGCUCUGGGCUAAUACCCUGGGGUAAUGACGGUACCUGAAGAAUAAGCACCGGCUAACUACGUG
rnacentral:rRNA from 1 species